UAGGGAAUCUUCCGCAAUGGACGAAAGUCUGACGGAGCAACGCCGCGUGAGUGAAGAAGGAUUUCGGUUCGUAAAACUCUGUUGUUAGGGAAGAAAAAAUGUAUAGUAACUAUAUACAAAAGAGACGGUACCUAACCAGAAAGCCACGGCUAACUACGUGCCAGCAGCCGCGGUAAUACGUAGGUGGCAAGCGUUGUCCGGAAUUAUUGGGCGUAAAGCGCGCGCAGGUGGUUUAGAAAGUCUGAUGUGAAAGCCCACGGCUCAACCGUGGAGGGUCAUUGGAAACUAAUAAACUUGAGUGCAGGAGAGAAAAGUGGAAUUCCUAGUGUAGCGGUGAAAUGCGUAGAGAGUAGGAGGAACACCGAUGGCGAAGGCGGCUUUUUGGCCUGCAACUGACACUGAAGAGCGAAAGCGUGGGGAGCAAACAGG
rnacentral:rRNA from 1 species